CCCAAACCAGUUCAGCGCAAACCACGCCCCUACGCGAAAACCCCACCCCGCAGCUGUGACACGCGCGAUUUCAUUGGGCAACGUUGUUACUUGUCGUCUGAGAAAGAAGUUCAGAGUGCACAUCAAUCAAGUUCGUCUCUAAUGGAUCUAUCGUUGACAAACGGAGAGUACGAUUGUAGUCCCAAAGACCAAGCUGCGGAUCUAAAGGCUCAUUACAGGUGCCAGCACAAUGUUCAUGUUCGAUCAGGCAUGGCUAGUCAACAACGGCUGUCCAAAAACAUGCUGUGGGGCAAAAAUGGUUUGCACUUUGAUAAAGACUGUAGACAAAAGGGGAGGAUCAAGUAGGAACAAUGAACCCCAUAUUCCCACUUACUCAACCUCUGUGCGCAAGAGUUAACUCUGUUGAGAUGCCACCAUGUCAGAGCCUGAGCUGCCAGUUGCCACCAGAGCUAUUGAUGCCAGAUUCACAAGAGUUAUUGUCAACAGAACCGCUUACAAAGCCUCAACCACAUUCAGACCCAUUCCAGCAAAACUGCCAGAGCCCAUGGUGCUAGAGCUGGCAGAUCUGCUGCUGCCAUAGCCAACGCUUCCAGAGCCACCGAUGCCACCACCUGAGCUCCAAGAUUGGCCACCUCUGCUAGAACCAACUAACCUAUAAGAGCCACUCUACCUAUUUCUAAAGUGAGGACAAUUUAUGCUUUAUAAAUCUCUAAUAAAUGACAAUUCAAGGCUCAGUGUCAAAUGAACAGUACACCUUUGUAAUCCUAUCUAAAAAUAAAAUUACUGUAAAGUUUAAACAUUGCCGAAUAACAGGAGUGUCAAAAUACGACAUAAAAUUGG